rnacentral:rRNA from 1 species
CAUGUAUAAGCACAAGCCGUAAAUGGUGAAGCCGCGAAUAGCUCAUUACAACAGUCGUAGUUUCUUGGAACUUAUUUCUAUGGAUAACUGUGGUAAUUCUAGAGCUAAUACAUGUCACAAACCCUGACUAACGAAAGGGUGCGUUUAUUAGAACAAAGCCAAUCAGACUUCGGUCUGUCUCAGGUUGACUCUGAAUAACUCAGCUAAUCGCAUGGUCUUCGAACCGGCGAUGUAUCUUUCAAAUGUCUGCCUUAUCAACUGUUGAUGGUAGAUUAUGCGCCUACCAUGGUUGUAACGGGUAACGGAGAAUCAGGGUUUGAUUCCGGAGAGGGAGCCUGAGAAACAGCUACCACAUCCAAGGAAGGCAGCAGGCACGCAAAUUACCCACUCCCGGCUCGGGGAGGUAGUGACGAAAAAUAACGAGACGUUGCUCUAUGAGUAUCGUCAUCGGAAUGAGUACAAUCUAAAUACUUUAACGAGUAUCUAUUGGAGGGCAAGUCUGGUGCCAGCAGCCGCGGUAAUUCCAGCUCCAAUAGCGUAUAUUAAAGUUGUUGCGGUUAAAAAGCUCGUAGUUGGAUCUGAGACUUCAAACAGCGGUCCCCAGAUGGGUUGUACUGCUCGUUUUGGUCUAUUCAGUUGGUUGGUUCAUGAUGCUCUUAAUUGAGUGUCAUGUGCUGCCGGCUAUUUUACUUUGAAAAAAUUAGAGUGCUCAAAGCAGGCAUUUGCUCGAAUAUUGGUGCAUGGAAUAAUAGAAUAGGGCCUUGGUUCUAUUUUGUUGGUUUUAGGAGCACGAGGCAAUGAUUAAGAGAAACAGACGGGGGCAUUUGUAUUGCGACGUUAGAGGUGAAAUUCUUGGAUCGUCGCAAGACAAACAACUGCGAAAGCAUUUGCCAAGAAUGUUUUCA